rnacentral:rRNA from 1 species
CAAUAGCGUAUAUUAAUGUUGUUGCAGUUAAAAAGCUCGUAGUUGGAUUUCUGGUUGAAGCGACCGGUCGGGCGUUGAUUCGUCUGCACUGGAGUCGGUUUUGGCCAUCCUCUAGGAAAGUGCGUCUGGUAUUAAGUUAUCGGGCGUAUGAUCCUGGUCUUUUACUGUGAAAAAAUUAGAGUGUUUAAAGCAGGCCUUCGCCUUGAAUACAUUAGCAUGGAAUAAUAAGAUAGGACUUUGGUCUAUUUUGUUGGUUUGCAGACCGAAGUAAUGAUUAAUAGGGAUAGUUGGGGGUAUUUAUAUUCCGAUGUCAGAGGUGAAAUUCUUAGAUUUUCGGAAGAUAAACUUAUGCGAAAGCAUUUACCAAGGAUGUUUUCAUUAA